rfam:Ictidomys tridecemlineatus contig090672, whole genome shotgun sequence.
UGGGGUGUAGCUUAAUGGUAAAGCAUUUGCCUCACAUGCAGGAUGUCCUGGUUUGAUUUCAAGCAUCAUAA